CCCCUCCUGGGAGACAGCGGCCCCACCGGCAGACUGAGCCUGCGCCAGAGGACGAGCCAUAGCCGGUGGCAGCCCAGCGCCCACCUGCCCACCCUGGGCCCCCACUCACCAUCCUGCGAGCCCCACUCCCAGUCGGGGCCCCGAACCACCUUCGCUCCCUGGAAGAUGCCCCUUAACGGGAUCCUUGGGAGGCCCUGGCGGGGACUCAGCGUGACCCUACGAGAGAGAGAGUGGGUCCCAGGCCAUGAGGGACACCCACGCAAUGGAGCAGGCCCCCUGCUCUGCCGGCCUUGCUCCUCCACUCCCACCCCUGGAAUCUAGAGGAUGGGGCGCCGCCAGCUCCCAGGCCCACAGGCAGCUUGUGGGAUCUUAGUUCCCCGACCAGGGAUUGAAGUGGCACCCUCGGCAGUGAGAGUGCAGAGUCCUAACCACCGGACCGCCAGGAAAGUCCCUGGGGGACCUUUCAUGAUGUCAGGCGAGAAGGGCGCCCCAGGCCCACCCUCACCACACACCCUCUACGUACAGUCACACCAAACCUGCUGCCUCCCGUUAGAGCUGACCCCAGAGCUCAGCGCACGGCCUGGCCCAGGGGAGCUCAGCACGUGGGAAGCAGAGGAGAGAGCAAGGCAGGCUUGGCCAGAGGCGCCCAGACAGCUCAUCCUGGCUGCCACACUGGCUGGGGGCGGCUGGGACGUGGAGCCCCUCCCCUCCGUGUGUGGGGGGUGUCAAGGAGGCGAGGGCAACAUUGCGGGGGACAGGGGUGCACCUCUGGGCACCCACCCAGCCCAGUGGACUCCUGCCCAGCCGGGUCCCCCCCGACCACAGCAAAGGAGCCUGCCAGCCAGACCAACGGCACCUCCACAGGCGCGGACGCCCCAGGCACGCCACCCUCAGCGCCCCGGCCACGGCGGCACUGGGGGACCACUGGGGAGCCUGGCUCUAGGAGGGGACCGGGACACCGGAGAAGGCCCCAGCCACAGCAACCACCUCCGCAGACCUGCUCAGUGGACACGGUUGCCUUCUGCAAGGGAUAGGGACUGGUGUCAAAGCCCAGGCCCCACGGCGUGACCAGGACCCUGGCCACUCCUCGAGGAAAUGGCUCAGGAAGGACUCGACCUGUACCCUGGGGAGUGGCCAGCAGGAGGCAGCUCCAAUCCUCCGGGACCAAGGCUGCUCGGGUGUCAGAGCCAACUGAGAAGCUGGACGGCACUUAAGCCUGGAGAGGCAGCAACACAUACGCCACAAAGGCCCUGUACCUGGAGUGUGGACGGAGGGCCUGCAGAUCCCAUGCACAAAGCAGACAACCCAAGAGAAAACAGGAAAACGCUGGAACAGGUGCCCCCAGCAGCUAACACACACAGGGUCUGAUGCCACCCACAGCCCAGUGGGCAGUGCUGUGUGGUCCUUCUCCAGAGAAGCGUGGCCCGGCCACCCCAGGCAGGCCCUGACGGAGGUGGCGUUGUUCACAGCAGCGCCUGCCCCGAGUGCUCAAGGGUGAACUGGGUCGUGACACGUGAUUUACCUCCAAGGGAGCACAAACCACUGCACUACACACAGCAAAGCUCACAAACGCAUGUUGAAGGAAAGAAGCCACGUGCCUGAUUCCACCAAUAGAAAGUUCACAAACGGGACAGACAAAUCCAGGGCACUAGAGUCCGGGAGACAGCGGCGGAAGCGGUCACGGGGGGCUUGGGCCCGGAGGGAACAUGCUACUUCCUGAUCUGGGUGCCAAUUAUACACGUGUUCACUUUGCUAACUUGGAUCACUUAUGACCUGGGCCUCUAUAUGUGAUUCCUCAAUAAAUUUUUUUUAUGA